UAAUCUUUUACCCCUGCCUGCCCCAUAGCGUCUGCUCUCCAUGACACAUCCCUGAGUGGUACAGAGUCUGACCCAGAGAGUGAAAAUAGAGUCCAGAGAAUCCCAUCCCACCCAAAGGCUUUAUCAUCCGUCCAAACUGUGCAGUCCCCCGUAGAUCCCUCUCCUGCUCCCCUGCCCUGUAAAGCUCCCCAGAUGACCUCUACCCCUCUUCCAAAGUACACAAAGAAGGAAGAGUUGACAGUGGACAGUAGCGAUAAAUCUGAUGAGGAGAAGGAAGAAGACGAGGAAGAAGAGGCGAAGGAAGGAGAUGUGUCAGAUGAUCCUCCUGAAGACGGUGGAGAAUUCAUCGAUACCACUUUGGCUGUUCCUGAGGCAGAAGGCUCCAAAGAGAAGAAAAGAGAUUUACUGUCUGAGCUGGGUCUGGAGAAUGGUGAGGAGGAGCAGGAUACAUGGGAUACUGAGUCCAACUCUGAAAACUCCCCUGCCCCGCACGAAGAAAGGCCAAGCUUCCAAGCCCCCGAAGAAAGGAUGACCACUCCAAAAGAAGAAAUCAAAGAAGACUUGCUUUACAUUCCCUCUUUUAUAAGACGGGAAGGAGACAGUAGGAUGGCAGUGCUAGAGACUCGGAAGAAUAUAGGCAGGCCAGG
rnacentral:lncRNA from 1 species